rnacentral:lncRNA from 1 species
UUGCUGAAUUAACCAGGAGCUUGCACUGAACAUCUACCACACACCAUUGUCCUAUAUGAGUCGUUGGAGAGAGCAUUCAAAGAAUCUUCUGGGGCAUUUGCAGGGGACUAAGAUGGCAGAUAGCAGGCAGGACUAGCUUGCAGCCCCUGCUCGGAUGGACAGAGCAAUGUGUGGAGACUCACACUGUGAACUUUGUCUCCAAGACUACACAGGAACAUAUCAGGAAAACCUAGAGAAUCCACAGAGCCUUUG